AAACUUUAAAAAUAUUAUUAUUUCUCAACUUUCUCAAUACAGUGUAACUGUCCUCAAAAUCUUUUUUAUUAUUAUUAUUAUUAUUAUUAUUAUU